ensembl:lncRNA
GGCAGUGUCACAGGAAGCAGCUGUGCUAUGGAGGAUCCAUGUCCCGUUUGAUCUCCAACCAGGAAGUGAUUUUCUCUACAUCCCGUGCCUGAGUAUGUCCCUCCUGUCACCACAGUGGGUGGGGUACCGAGGGCACAGAGGAAGCCAGGACACGGGCUGUUAGGAACACUCAGGUUGGUGAGGCUGAACUGCCAAGGGCAGAGGCAGAAGGCUGGUAGAAAUGGAAAUUCUUGGGGUCCACCCUGACCUACAGACUCCGAGUCUGGGAUGAAGCCCAGGAAACUGUGCUUCCGAGGUCCCCGAGGUGACUGAUGCUGAAGUUAGAGGCACAGGUGCAGAGCGUGCUGGAGGCCACGAAGCCACCCCUGAAGCCAGCAGAAGACGGAAUCCUACCCAGGUGCCUUAAAGAAGGGCGGAUGCUGGAGCCUGAGUCAGACAGACCGUCCCAGAAACUGGUGGAGGCCAGGCCAGCCAGACCCGGGCCCCAGGGCAGCUUGUGCCUUCGGAAGAUGGAGAAGAGUGCAGCGAUCCCCCAUUUUCUAAGGUGCAGCUGGAUCCAGGGCCUCCGGCAAUGUUGUCAAGCUUCCCACCCCCUCACGCGUGUGAUAGCUCUGCUGGCUGCUUCUUGGCUUCAUCUGGCACCCCCGACCUGUGGCUGCAGACAUCCCCGUGGAUGAAGGGCAGGGCCGUGUGUGUGCACACGGAUGUCUCCUGUAGAGAAUGUGUCGUUGGAAGACUGACCGUCCCUUUGGCUCCACUCAGUUGGACGCAUCAAGUUUUGGCCUCUCUCCGAGUCUCCAGACUUGUAUAAAAUAUAAAUCCCUUUUUGGAGGCCUUGUCGGGUGCAUGUGGAUGUGGAGAAAUGUCAGAUGCAGAUGGUGCUGUGGACCGUUGGACCAGUUUUCCAGAGCUGAGGGACCUUGUGGCCUUGGAUUAAGAUUUUUCAUCCAAGGUCCUGGCUUCACAGCAUCAGAGCUCAUCAUGGGCUGCAGGGAAUUUUAGUGGCCAUUCUGACCAGCUCCCCCGAUUUUCAGGUGAGGAAGCUGAGGAGGCCCAGAGAGGGGCGACAGCUUGCCAUGGUCACACAGCAGGUUGGCACCCCAGCCGGAUGAGAGCCCCGGCCUCGGAGCCCCAGCCUGGGCUGGCCAGGUCUCAGCUCCUGCCGACUCUUGAGUCACGGGAUUUGGGUUCUGCGAGUCUGCAGUACAGACAGGACAGGCUGCGUCCUCCGGGAAGGGGCCUCGUGGUCGCUGAGAAGACGAGCAUGUAAGGAAAGCUGGUGGGUGACGAGCCAGCGCCCUGUCUGUCUCCUGCAGGAAAGCAGUGAGGAGUCACUCCGCCAAGGUCUCUUAAAGGAGAAGGCUGUGUUAUUUCCCGAGCUGCUUCCUGCGUGGUGCAACCGAGCUGAGAGCCGGAGCCGACUUUGGAAGGCUCAUCCUCCAACCCACUCUCCCGUCGGUGGAAAGGUUUAUAGGAAACAAAGGCUCAGAGAGGCAAAGUGAUUACCCAAGGUCACACAGCUGGAACGCAAUGAAGCCAGGACAUGAACCUGCUCCUAGGGCCCUCCUGUUUUCCAUCCCACGGCCAGUCGUCUCAACCAAGAAGGUCUCAGAGUCAGUCUACACAGAGAGAACACGCCUCCGUCACAUCCACUCCUCUCCCAUGUCCGUCCACGGUAGAGUUUGAGGCUGCUUUUUAUCACAAUCAUCAACCUUUAAUGUUUUGCUUUUUGAAAAUAUCUGUAGCCGCGGCUCAGGGUCAGUGGCCGAGAGAGAGUGUGUGUGGGUGUCCGAACAUCAAUGUCCAGCUUUCCCCCGGGAGGGAGGUAAACAGGCUUCCGGGACUCAAGCGGAACAUUUUUUAGCGUCUUGCGCCUUUGGCCUGGGCACGUCAGAUUUGGGGUCCCACCGUCUCGGAUCCCACGCUUCUGGUGUGCUUGGGAACGGAAGGUGUUUGGGGACAAGCCGGGUAGGAGGCCCGGCUGCCGAAACAAAGAGAGAGAAGGCAAGUUCAGGGGCGCGAGCUAGGGCGGGGGGCGCCCACUGCUUCUUUCUGCAGCCUCCCGAGUCAGCGGGUGGCUCGCACACACACGGUGCCGGGGUUUAAGCCCUGUUUCUAACCACGUGCAUGUAGUUAAUCUCUCCGAGCCUCAGUGUUUAUGAAACAGGAAUAAUAAAAAUGCCCACCCAUACAGUUGCGUGAUUAAAUGGCGUGAUGCGCGAGGACAGCUAUGCCUGUGCCCGGCUCACGGUAAGGACUCGGCGAAUGUGCAAUGUGAAGGUAUGGAUAUUGUAAGUCAGCAAACAGAUGUUGCAUUCUGAGUCUAUGGUAGGAGUCAUUUCCAUGUAUCUCACUUAAAAAAAAUCACAAUAACCCUGGUGGGGGGGGGGUGUUGUUAUUAUCUUUACUUUGUAGAUAAGGAAGCCUAGACUUAGGAAGAAGAGUGGCAGAGCCAAGUGAAUCCCCCGGAGUUUGCCAAAUCCGCCAGUGGGGUCUCCCUGCCACACUCACCUGAGCCCAGGUUCAGGGCCUGCUGAGACCCACAGCACAACGAAGCCAGGUCUGACUGGAGGGUGGACCUCCGGGAGCUCAGCUGGGUAGUGCGAGGCCUCGUGUCAGCCAAUGGCAGCAGGUUUUACUGAUGCUUCUGGAGGGCCCACCCUCUGGAAAUGCAAGCCCGUUGGUUCCCAGGACUGGAAGCCUCAAGCACGUGUGGCCCUAGACCUCAAAGAGGGUUUGGCUGCUGUGGCUUCUCUGGCAACAAAAGCUGUUGAUUUGUUUUUUGAGCCGAGUGGCUAGUUGAGGGCACCAGCCACAACCUGCUAUUAGGAGCUCCUCACUGCGGUCUGCGUGGAGCGCUCAGGGAAGAGCCCCCGUGUGUCCUGGGAUCCCACGGUCUCUUGUUUCUUCCCUCUUGGUUGGCAUGUGGCUGGGGCAGGGGACACCCUGGGGAUUUCGGCGUGAGUCUCUCUCCCUCACAGGACUGUGCAGAGCUCUCCUGAAGCUGUGGGACCAACCACAUCUGAGGAGUCCUCACUCCCAGACCCCUGCCCUUUUAGGUCCUCGGUGUUUCCAAACACUUCUUCAGGACCCGUUCCUGGAGAACUUUCUGUAGAUAUGGAUGCAAAUACAGAAGGGUGGGCCCCAAAGCACUUCUGGUGAUUGAAUGUGCUGCCUCUGUGCAUUGCUUUGUCUCUCUCUGUCCACCCCUCACCAGAACGGAUGCUUCCCAGCUUGGGAUCUUGCCUCUCUUGUCCUCUGAUAUAUCCUCAGUGCCUAGAACACGGUGCUCUACAACAGCACAGAGCAGGGGAGCCACUAUUGAUCCAUGGGUGUGCCCUGGCAACUGGUACAGGGUCUUGUGCUCAGUGUCUGCUUCAUCAGGAGCUGGACCCAAUCACCCACUAAAUGGUCAUUUGUUAAUUAACUAAGGGAUGAAUACUGGAAGUAGACUGGUGAGGAAAAAACAAGAUUCGGUUCCAGCCUUCCUGGACUUGCUAGGGGAGUUGGACCAGUGGAGCUCAAUCCAGUUCAGCUUGACUCAACUCAACUGAGCUCAUCACAACUAAGUUCAGCUCAAUGCAGGUCAACUCAUCUUGACUUAGCUCAGUGCACAUCAGCUCCGCUCAACGCAGUGCUCAGAGUGGAUCAUCUCUGCUCAAUGGACCCACCUUGACUCGACUCAGUGCAGCUCAACUCAACACAACUCAGCUGUACUAGGCUUGCUUGGUUCAACUCCACUUAACUCAACUCAGCUCAACUGGGAACGGCUACAUUCAGUCAAUUAGGGAGGCAUUAACCGAGUAUCAAGGUUAGAGGCUCAUGUGGUUGAUUCCUCCAGGAACACAUACUUUAGUCAUUAAAAUAAGGAGUUUGGAUAUGAAGAAUGUAGAUAGUAAUAUACAAGCAAAGACUUUAAAGCUCAAUGGAAGGAACAGCUACUUCUCACUGGUGAAGGCUUCUUGAAAGUCAUAUUAUUUCAGGUACAAUUUAAUUUUGACUAAUGUUGGAGGGCUGGGGCAGGAAGUCAGUCCAGAAAGCGAGAACAGCCUGAGAAAUGCCUGGACAGGGUGGAAUAAAUGGCUUGACUUGGGAGUGGAUACAGAGGUGUAGAAGGUAAUAGGCGACAAGGCUAAAAGACAGUGAGGAGGGAGUUCAAGACAGUUCUGAAUGGCAUGCUUUUGGACUUUUUCUGUAAGAACAGAAAUCUGCUGCAUGAUUUCACUUCAUUCUUGCAAAAGCCCUAGGAAACAUUUAAGGUAGGGAUGGUGAUUUCCAUUUUACAGAUGAAGAAAUGGAGGCUUAGAGAAGUUAAUGCCUGCUCAGGUAGAGGUUGGUUGAGUUGGAAAUUAAAUCACAUCAAGAGAACUGUCUUCUUUGUUUUCAUUUCCUCAGCCCCACAGCUGGCACUCAGGAGCUGGAGUGUGGUAUGAUUCAAGCUAUAUUUUCACACCAUAAAUGUUGGGAGAACAGAGGAUGGGUGGGAAGGGAUGAGGCAGGAAGACUAGGUAGGAGAGAAGAGUAUCUGGGAAUCCAGGGCCCCAGGGAUGAUGGAGAGAGGAAGUGUUGGCUAAAUACUCAUCUAUAAGUUCCCACCAAAUGUCAUGCAGAAUCUACAGGGCAUUUAACAGCCUUGGAAGAUUAUGGUCUCGUCUUUCUAAGUCUCUUACAUUCUAAAACCUCAAGUUCUUCAUCUGCAAUUAUGGAAUUUAUAGUACUAUUCCCCCUAAGGAUUGUGAAAAUUCAAUUGGUAUACAAGUGCUUAAAAAGUCAAGUAUUUUUGAACUUAAGAAAAAUAUGGAGAGUAAUAUAACUAAUACUCAUGCACCCACUACCUAGAAUAAAUAAAUAUUAAUGUUUUGUUAAGUUGGCUUUGGCUUUUUUGUUUCUUUUGGAAGCAAAGUCCUUGACAGUUGUGUUGACAUUCCACUAUACCCCUCUCCAAAUCUGUCCUUCUCACUCCCUGCCUGAGACACCAUUUCUGGAAUGGGAUGUGUCCUUUCCUGUAUUUUUACUACACAUAAACAUAUCCCUAAAUAAUAAAUGGUAUUGUUUGUGUGUUUUAAACCUGUAUAUAAACGGCAUCACACUGUCGCAUUCUGCAACUUGAAUAUUCUAGUAGAUGAGUUUAAUCCAUUUACAUUUAUUGCGAUUCCUAAUGGACUUAUUAUUUUCUUUUAUUUUUUACCUGCUUGUGUGUUCUUUAUUACUCACUUUUAUCCUUUCAUUCACCUUCUAUUGCAGGGAGUGCCAAACUGUGGCCUGCAGGCCAAAUUUGGCCCGCCACCUAUUUUUGUAAAUAAAGCUUUAUUGGACACAGCCAUGCUCAUUUAUUUACUUAGUGUCUAUGGCUGCUUGUGCAUUGCAAUGGCAGCGUUGAAUAGUUUUGACAGAAAUUGUGCGGCUGCCAAAGCUGAAACUGUUUACUCUCUGUCCCCUUACAGAAAACGUUUGCCAAUUCCUAUCUGUGGGGUUGAUUUUAUUUUUUUGUAACUCCCGGUUUGGAAAUAAUACAUUCUACAUUUAUUUUUUUUAGGAGUUGCCCUCAAAAUUUU